UCAGUCUCCUCCACACAUACUUUACCUUGGUCUGCUGUGAGCUCUGAAAGCCACCACAACACAUCAGAAAGUCACACUUUUCCCCGCCUCUUCUCCUCUGUCAUCAUGUCAUCAGGACCAUUACUUAAAUAAAGGCUACAUUAAAUGAGAAGUGGUACUUGUGUUUUGUUCUGGGCUGUGAUAAUGAAGAGAUGCUGACUGGUGAUAAAACAUGCUGGGCCUUCAAAAAAGGUAAUAAGAAUUUUGUGUGUAAUUUAACAAAAAAAAAAAAACUACAGUAAUGUGUCUCACAUAGUGACCUUGGAACUAUUUCUAAGUUAUAAACGAGUUCCAGUGAAAACUGUCACCAGUGUGUUCUGUGAAGUAAUGUGGACACAGAUUCUGUAAAUGUAACAUUAUGAUACUCACAAGUCCUCAUUCACCUCCAUAGUGCUGGAGUGGAGGAAAUAAGCUCCAGUUGAUAAACUGGACCUUUGAAGCCAAAUAAAGGUCAGACACAACACCUUGGUACAAAAGUGUGUGUGUGUGUGUGUGUGUGUGUGUGUGUGUGUGUGUGUGUGUGUGUGUGUGUGUGUGUGUGUGUGUGUGUGUGUGUGUGUGUGUGUGUGUGUGUGUGUGUGUGUAGCUCAAACUUCAAUGUUUUUUUUUUAGAAAUUAACAAAGAUUUGUGUAAUAGAAACUUAACAGCCAAUUUUAUUACAAUAAUUGAUUAGUUCUUUCUUAGUACUUUAUAUGUCUGAAAGGAAGAGACAUGUAUCGUGGUUAUACAAGGCUUAUAAAUAUCUUCAUGACUUAAACACAAGCUUGAAAAUACUGGAAACAUCCAUUUUCCUUCAGAAAUAAUGAAAAAGCGGAAACCACCUAAAAUAAAUUAAUCAUAUUACAGAGACCCAUAGACACUGGGAUUGUUUAAAUGUAUGUGCAAUGCAUUACAUUGCUUGGUUUCUGUUUAAUAAUGGGGACUCGUGGUCCAAAUGAUUAUUAUUUUUAAUUAGCACCAUCCUGUUUCAUUCGAGGUUAAAGUGCUGUCUUCAGACAGUCAGACUUAGUGUUUGUCUGUGUUGAGACACUGAGGACAGUGUAGAAAAAGUGCAGCAGGAAUACUAGAAACACAGGCCAGUUACAACAAUAACAGCACUUCCUCCUCAAAGGUGGGUGGUCACAUUUACAUUCCCUUUGCUCUGGCUGCUGGGACUUCUGAGUGGAGAGCCUGGGAACCUCCCGGUGCAUCCCACCCACCCUGGACUCCACCUCCCAGCCCCCUACCACCGAAAAACUUGUUAAAAGUCAGCAGAGCACCUUUCCCUUGACAAAAUGUGGGAAACAGCAAAAGUAAUUCCUUAACAUAGUUUCCCUGCUUCACUACGAGUUUUGUUUUUCUUCAGGACAGUUCCACAAUUUCAACAUUAUUUUCUGGUACUUUUUUUUUCAUUAAUUUGCUUGUAAAAAAAAAAAAAUCCAACGAAGGGGUAUUUUUUAUUCUGCAUUUUUGUGGGUUUGUAUGCGAGUCUCCUUUAAAGCCUAAAAAUGCACGAAUUAUUUCUAAAUCUAUACCAAUAUAUUAAAUAAUUGUGUCUAAUUAAGUAGAAGCGAACUGAUUACCACGGUUUAGUCCUGCUAGAUAUCAGAGAAUGCGUUAAAGAAUAACCAUUUUAUGACGGAGCUUUCGUAAUGUUAUGUAUUAUUUGCAUUAUUCACCUUGUGCGAAACGUUUGAGAGAGGUUGAAAAGAAUGGUUAAAUGAAACAAAAUUAUAAUUACACUAGUUUCCACGUGCUAAAGCAAAAUUAUAACGACACAGAAAUAUCCAUACAACAAUUUCAUUCAUUUUGUGCUCGUUAUUUAAUAGUGUCGCAGUUUAAUCUGUUUUUUUCUUUUAGGUUUUCCAUUAAUUUAAUAUUGAAAAAAAGAAAAGUUAAAUGAUAUUUGUGAUCAUAAAAGUCCUGGAACGUCGCCGUAAAACGGUAAGAGAGGUGCUGCUUGUCGAUCCCGGUGGUCUCUCACCUCUCCUCAGCAUUUCGGAGCUGAUGAAGAAUGAACGUGCGGUAGCAGCCUGGUAUCUUCCACACCAGAGAAAGGUUUCCACCAGCUCCAGUGAAAUUCAGCAUUCAGAGCCUCUCUCUCCUCCCCGCCCAGCGCCGCUCUGCACACAGAGAUGCACGCGGAAGGUUGCAGCCGAUAUAUGGGGAUGGUGGUGGUGAUGACGCUGGAGACAGGAAUAAUAGUCCUCCCUGCUCACUGUUUGUAUUGUAUGACCAUUUGUUGCCACCUGCUGGACAAAAAAAGUAAGCGACCGCAAGCAGGAAAGGCAUUUUUAUUAUCCCUCUGUGGUUCACUGAAACGCCGUUUGCUUUCUUCGUGCAUCCAUCAGACAUGUAUUCCUUUACAUGCAGAGGUGGCCACUACCUGGAGUGGUUUCCGGUUGAUAGAAUAGUGGUAGGACCAAGUGAACCUUGUCAGAAGAUACCAUUGUCAGAUGGUAGAAUUUCCUUCUGUCUAAUCAACCAGUUGUGUUGUGCCAAGGUAUAUGCAGCAAACAUCCCCAUUCACCUACUACAGUAAUCCAUAUUAUGACAAGAAUCAUUUACCUGUGAGGAAAAAAAUGACUGUCUAUCACUAACACAAGACAUAAAGGUCAGUCAGACCAGAACAAGAACUAGUUUCUUCAAGUGCAGUCACAAAAAGCAUCCACUACUGUGAUUAAACUGGCUCUCACGAAUGAGCAAGUCAGGAGAAAUGGACCAAGAGUUCCAUCUAGAUCAGUUGAGAAAUUCAUUUAGUUUGUAGUCUUGAAAACCUGCAAUUAGCAGCAGCUCCAAUUAGAACCAGCAUCAAUGUUUUUCAGAGUUCAAGCAGUAUACACGUCUCAACAUCAACUGCUGGGAGGAAACCGUAUGAAUCACAUUUAACAUCUGCAAUUAAAUCACUACUUUGGAAGACUGAAAAGAAGCAGGGAACCGUUUGGACAUAGAAACGGAAAUGGACUUUAGACCAAUGCAAACCUGAACUUUGGUCUUAUGAGUCCAGAUGGGAAAUUUCUGGUUUCUUGCAGCUGUCAUGUCUUUGUUAGACAAACAGAAGUUGAAUAGAUGGCAUCUGCACGUGUGCAUGUCUGCAUGUGAGGGGGUGGGGGUCAUGCAGUGACAUACCAGCAACACACCAUUCCAUCUGGUUUGAGCUCAGCAGGACCAUCAUAAGCUGAUUUUUCAGCUUUGACACAGUAGAUAAUAUAACAAGCCUUUAAAUAAAACACAUAUUUACAGAUUAAUUCAGUAAUUUCUAAACAGUUUGGAUCUUUCAAAUAAACAGCGUGCUGUUAGGCUACUGUAUCUCUGUGUGGUUCACCAGCUGCUAACCAGUGGUCAGGAGAACCCUCCAGAGGGUCGACACUGCCCAGAAAAUCAUCGGCUGCUCACUUUGUAUUCAUUUACUGUCCCACCCUCCACCUCAGCUGCCAGGUAGUGGCAGCUUCUCUUUCCCUUCCCCCGUCUCUCUCUCCCUCUCCUAGGUGAGUGUGGCAUGUAUCAUGUGGACAGGUGCUGCAAAGUGUAAUCAGUGGAGUCGACGGACAAGCAGUUGGGAGGGAUCACCACAUUACCUCCUCUUCUAAAAAAGCCAGAAGCUCCUACUACUUUUUGAAUUCAUGCCUGCUCGCCCUUGCCUGGAUUCCCCAGAUUACCGUCAACCACCAUGGCACCAGCCAAGACGCAAACCUCUGUUCGUCUUCAUGCCAACCUAUGCACCACCUGUCCGGACUCAGAUCAUCACCAGACCACACACCACCUCACCUGCUCCGUCUUCCCAUCACAAGUUCUCAGCCUCGAACAGUUAAGUUCCCUCAACCCUUCGUGAGUCAGUCCAGUUUUAUGUAUCCCUGUUCCUAGAGAGCCUAGUUAGUGUUUCCAGCGUCUUUUAUUCAGCAGUCGUGUAAUAAGUGUACCUGUUCUUUAAUUCAAUGUCCUGCCUUGAUAGUACCAGGUUCAGGUCAGUUUGCUAAAUCUAUUGUUUGAGUCUGGUUAAAAUUACCCUCUGGGCCUUCAAGGUGCCCUGUUCAGUUCGAGCAUUCAGUAUUUACCAUCCUGUUUUGAUGGCCUCUUGUUUGUCACAUCCUAUUGUAGUUUUUGUCUAUUUUGAGUGUGUACUCCCAAUGUCAGUCUGUCCUGUCUCUGUUGCUCUGCAUUUGAGUCUGACUUCGACAUUGUAGCAUUUAUUCAAACUAUAUACAUUUACAUACAACUGUACUUUGUAUUUAAUUUUGCACUACUUUAGACAUACUUUUCAUACAUGUCUAGAAAUGUGCAUUAUGCAGAAGUGUUCAGUUACAGUACUGUUUUUCUAAUUCUAAUAUACCAAAUGAGCUAUUUAUAAGAGCAAAAGCUAGCCCACUGUUCUCAUGGAAACACUAGCACAUACUACUUUUACUCUGCUAAGGAAUGCGAUGGAGUUAUGUGAUGAUUGACGUUUGUUUGUUAGAAACAUUACUUUAACCAAUUUAGAUGAAAUUUUCAAGGAAGGUCAGAAAUGACACAAGGACGAAGUAAUUAGAUUUUGUCAGUGAUGCGGUUUAUAGUUUGGAUCCACGGAUUUGAUCAAGAUUUCUGUAUCGUUGGGAGAUAGCGGCACACAAACUGCUGACGAUCACAAUGGGGAUCUUACUACAAAUCAACCACUGUAGACUUAUCUUGACUUAUCCAUCAGAAAUGAUGUAAGGAGCAACUGAUUAAAUUGUGGGGAUGUUUCUGAGUCCCAUCAAUUUUAGCCACUGGUUAGGUUACUCGAUUCGGUAUCCAUACGUCUCAUUUCAUGCUUUGCUUGUUGCGGGUUUGUUUUUGUUUUUUCAGGUUCCUUCUCAAAUUGAAUUCCCAACAUUGGAGGUUUCAUUUGGUGUAAUGAACCAUUUUUUUCAUUUUACCCUCUGCUAUCCCUACCCAGAUCCCAAAUAUGUUUGUUUUUCCUUUUCCUCAAGACAAGCGCGCUCUUAAAGGUGCAGCAACCUGAGCUGCCAUUGGCAGGGCAGCUCAAAUGAAAUUUCAUUGUAUAUGAAAGUGUGCAAUGACAAUAAAGGUUUGAUUGAUUGAUUGUUAUCACACACCUCAGCACAAGGUCAUUUUGUUUGUGGGUACAUCUAUAUUGAAUGACCACAUUCUAUGUUGCUGUGAUUUCUGAUUAUCAGUAAUUAAUAAAUAAAUGCUGUAUUUAGGACAAUGCCACAUGGGGGAAUGAACAACCUUAGAGGAGUACUGCGCUCUCUGAGUGCUUUUCUAUUUUUUUUUUAAUGUUUUCUUUCUAUUUGCACAUUUCUUAUUGUAUUUGAAAAAAAUGUCUCGCAGAGAGGCUCAAGAAUGGUGAAAACCUGAAAGAUCUUCACCAUUCUUGAGCCUCUCCACGACUCUGUGGACGGUCAUCCAGCUGAUGUUCAGCUGUUUGGCUAUGUCAGACCUGUUGUGGCCAGGAGAGCAGAUAUGUCAACUCUUUUGACUUCCAUCUUGAUACAACUUCACCGGAGAAAAAUUUGUAUAAAUGACACCUGCCUAUAAGGUAGAACUUUCAGUUUGUUUAAUGGAAUUUUUCACUCCGACAUGUAAACGUCUCUAAAGAUCAUGAAACCGAGUGUAACGGAACUUUUGCAAAGCCCGGUAGUCUGAUGUGGACUGAGAGCUCCAGAGAACAUGACCAUCCAGCUGUGGUUGUCUGAGGUGAAGAGUUUCAUCUCCUUUAUCACUGAUGUCCUCCUCAUCCUUCCAGUAAUAACAAUAAUGCUGCAGAUUCAGGUCCUUUCUUUAUAAUAUGACUUGUCUUGUGACUGUUCAGGAUUUAAACUUCACUGUAAGAAACACAUUAUUUAUUUCAUCAAUUUAUUACAUGUGUUUACAUCUUUACAGUUCAGUUGUCAAAUAAUGUAGUUUUUAAAUGUGCAAUAAAGGUAAUAAUGAAACUCCA